rnacentral:rRNA from 1 species
AGUGAACGCUGGCGGUAGGCCUAACACAUGCAAGUCGAACGGCAGCACAGUAAGAGCUUGCUCUUACGGGUGGCGAGUGGCGGACGGGUGAGGAAUACAUCGGAAUCUACUUUUUCGUGGGGGAUAACGUAGGGAAACUUACGCUAAUACCGCAUACGACCUACGGGUGAAAGCAGGGGAUCUUCUGACCUUGCGCGAUUGAAUGAGCCGAUGUCGGAUUAGCUAGUUGGCGGGGUAAAGGCCCACCAAGGCGACGAUCCGUAGCUGGUCUGAGAGGAUGAUCAGCCACACUGGAACUGAGACACGGUCCAGACUCCUAAGGGAGGCAGCAGUGGGGAAUAUUGGACAAUGGGCGCAAGCCUGAUACAGCCAUACCGCGUGGGUGAAGAAGGCCUUCGGGUUGUAAAGCCCUUUUGUUGGGAAAGAAAAGCAGCAGGUUAAUACCCCGCUGUUCUGACGGUACCCAAAGAAUAAGCACCGGCUAACUUCGUG